ACUCUCUCUCUCACUCAGACACACUCUCUCACACACUCCCUCUCCCUCUCCUGGCAAGAUUGCAGCAGCAGCGAGGGCGGGCUGGACGCGAAGCAGGAUUGGAUGGAGUGCAGCGCCCUGGCAGAGAGAGGGGAAGCCCAUGACAAGGCGCAGGGACCUCAGCGGCUCCCUCGCUUUAGAGAGGCUCUUCCCCUCACAUUGGGGAGCUCCAGGCAGGAGGGGGCGGGGGGACAGAAGUGCUGCUGAAAUAGAGAGAAGCAGAGCGCCAGG